UAUGAUCAUGGAAAGCACCAAGGACUGGAAGCAUGAACCUGAACCUGAAGAGCUUGUAGCUGAGGAUGCAACCUUGAAGAACAUUUGGAAACAAGAAGAAUACAUUAGUCUUGGCCGAAGCUUGAUCAUCCAAGACACCUUAACCAUCAUUCAAGCUACUCCACCUUCAAGCUGAUCAUCAUCUAGGCAAGUAGCUUGUGUGUGCUCUUUUCCUAACCUUUGGUUUUGUCCCACUGGGUUUUCCAAAGGAAGGUUUUUAACGAGGCCACAAGUCUACUUCUCCUAUCUCCUAGAUGAUUGAUCUUGGUCUGUCCACAUGAAGACCUUAUCUUAUAUUUUAAGCUAUGCUUUUAUGUUAUUUAGUUUUCGAAAAACUCUAGUCUUUGUUGUGUUUCCAAGGGAGCCUUGUCUUUAUUUUCCUUGUAUUUUCGAGACCUUGUGCAUGUACAAGGCUUCUCCUUUAUAUUCUGGUCGUGGCCCCUUGUAUCAGUAUCCAUCUUUUUAUCAAAAACCUUUGUUUUCUCUUUUCUUCUUGCUUGUCGAGUUGAUUGAGUGUUGGUGUGUAAUAUCCAACUUCUGGUGUGUAAUAUCCAGAGACUAAGGGCUCUAGUUUGGUGUGUCAUAUCCAAUCUAUUGCCUAGGAGUAUCAAGGAGCCUUUCCGCAGCCUCUUGUGUCACCAUUCGAUCCACAUACCUUGAGAAACUUGAGUCUUUUGAUUCGUUUCUGCAAGGAUUAUCCCAUCUGUUCCAGAGCAUCAUCCUAGGAUCUCAUCAAGUGGUAUCAGAGCAACUCUGGAAGGGAAGUGUUCGAUUUUUCUCUCUGAUUUUCGUUUGGGUCUGAUCAUAUUCUGUCAAGUUUGAUCUGAUCUGUGUUCUUAGCGUUUAAAUCUGAUAAAUCCGUUUGUGUUUGCUAAAAACCUGUCGAUCUAUUCUUAUUCUCACUAGUUUUGAUUGAUCUAUGAUUGUGUUGUUGAGUUUUAAUAGAUUCAAGCUUGUUGAUCUCGUUUCUGAUAAAAACUUUUCACAUUCUUGUUGCAGAAGUAAUCGAUUUGCUUGAUCUGUUUCUGUUUUGGAUUUGUGUGAUUCCGAUCUGUUCUUAUUGCUUUGAAUAUAAUCUAUCUUGUUUGGUUGAUUAGAUUUCGAAUUUAAUCUGUCUCUGUUUAAGAUUGAUCGAUCAUAUUGCGUUGGUGAAUUGUUUCUGAUUAUCAAACUUGUUCUGAUUAUCAACCUGAUUGUGUUUGAAUUUUUAUUCUCGAUUUGAUCUGUUCUGAUUGUUGUCUAAAUCCAAUAAUUGUGAUCUGUUUUGUUAGAACUACUUACUGGCUUAAUUUUUUUCUCUUGUCUCAGGUACCAUGGCAAGAGAUCAAAAAGGAGAACUCAGUAAGAAAGAAAAGCUUUUUCUUGAAGAAUUCACAGCCAGUCUGGAUAAAGCCUGCAAAGAUCAGUUGAGAAAAUUCAGACAAGACCUACAUCAGCAAAGGAAAGGCAGAUCAUCCAGAGAUGAGUACAAGAAAAAGGAGUUUGAUCAGAUGGACAGAAACCGGAAGCAUGCUGGAUUGAAAUAUCAAAUUCCUUCUUUUCAUGGCAACGCUGAUCCUGCUGCAUAUGUGGAAUGGGAAGAGAAGAUGGAGUUGAUUUUCGACUAUCAAAGCUAUGCUGAAGUAAAGAAGGUUCAAUUAGCCACUGCUGAGUUUUGUGGUUAUGCUUCAAGCUGGUGGAAGCAAUUGGUGUCGUCUAGGAGACACUAUGGAAAAGAACCUGUUGCAACCUGGCUUAAAUUAAGGGCUUUGAUGCGUCAUAAGUAUGUUCCAAGACAGUACCACAAGGAAGUGCUUCGAAAACAGUCUGAAACAAAGCCAUGCUCUGCAAACUCAGUCCAGGAACAACAAGGCAGGAUCAGAUCAAGAUCAACCGGUGUUAUUGGUUUACCUAGCAAGACAACGAGCUGGUUCUGUGAGGAGGACAUAAAGAAGCUGUCUCAAGUGAUUAUGGAUGUGGAGAAACAAUUCAGGGAGACCCACACUACACGUCCAUCCUUAGAAGAACAGAACCAGGAGUUAAUCACUUCAGUCUCAGAACUUAAUUCAGCAGAGCCGGUAUCAGCUACAUCUAUUCAAGGAGAUCAAGCCAAAGAAUCAUCAGCUGCCAUUCAGAAAGAUGAGCAGCCUGUUCAGAACGUCAUGGUUCCUUUCAAACAAGCCAUAGUACCAGAAGAGACACCCAGGGAACCACAGACAGCUUGCAAAAAGAGACAACUGAUUGUCUUUGACCCGUGUGAUUUCCAAAAGACAUUCUUGGGUAUUUUUCUGUUCAAUCCCUUUGUCUGGAACAAGACCAGAGCAGUAGAGCUUUCAAGACACGAACUGGGCAUGGAACAUGUUGUAUUUGAGCCUGGAGGAGAGUUGUGGAAUCACAGGAACAAUCCCAUAGUGAUUGAGAAGAAAUCGGCAGCAACAACAAUUGUUUUUGGUGAUCUUUUACCCUCUGAAGCUAAAGGGAUGCACGUCUCAGCUCAGCAAGAUUUUCACUACGAAACCAAUUGGAGAAUGUUACCCACUCUUUCCUGGAUCCAACAAACCGGAAAACGCAGCAAAUGGCCACCUGAUCAUCAAGAUAUUGUCAAUUCCGCAAAACAUAUCGGUUUAGCCAAAUUCUGUGAGCUGCUUAUAUCAGAUUGGGCUGGAAGGUUACAGAUCUACUUGUGGAAACCUGGAGCAUAUGACAGCACACUUAUCAUCCUUGGAGAGUGCUCUGCUCGUGCUAGAACCAGCUUGGGUAAUAAGGAGUUGGAAGCUGAUCAAAAUGCCUUGCUUCUUGAUCAUGUCAAGGCGUGGAAGCCACCAGAUUUGCAGAAGCUUCAAUACCAUUUCAGAGAUUGUCAAAUCAAGAGUGGAGAUGGAGAUCUCAUUAGAGUAGGUCAAACAGUUUUGAGUGCUAUACUUUUCGAAAGGAGAGGCUAUAGUAAUGAUCAGAGUAUCAAGAAUGGAUCCUUGGCUAAGUUGGAGAUGCAACAAUCAAAUCUUGGAAGCUGUCUAGCCGCCAACUCUGACAUAGGAGCAGUCCGAGGAUCAUAUCUCAGCAACCAGAAGGAAUUAAGCAACAAACUCAACUGCAAUGGAAACUACACUCAUCAGGGUCUCACGUCGAACUGGAAUCAUGUCCAAAGCUUCUCAAAUGAAAGAGUUAUGGGUUCUACAAGACGGGUGAUUCUGUGUUUGCUUUGUCUGAACUUUUCUGAGUUUAGAACAUCUCAAUCCUAUCUAUGGCGACCAGGUGAGCAUGCUAAGGUAACUAAUCAUGUUUUCAAGAGUUCUUUUAUUGAUUACACAGAUAUGAUGCACUUGUUUUUGCCAAAAGAGUCAUGUGCAGAUUAUAUGGAAGCUUUGAAGAAUGCAAAGAGAAAGAACAAGCGUGAGGAAGACAAACGUUUCAAGCCGCCUGAUCUAAGCCAGGAGAGACAUCAGGACGUCACUUGCUUCAUCCUCAUCAAAGAAGCACCUCCAGAUGCAGCAUACAAGCCAAAACCGAGAAAAGACAACUUUGGGAUAAGACUCUUACUCUAUGAUGAUUUUGCUUGUGUUAACUUGUCUUGUUUCAAUGUAUCAGGUUUAAGUAAUGCCUCAGGAGUGAGGAAAGCCAAAUGGAUCAGUCCCUUCUACCUAAUAGAACCAGUCAGCGACAAUGCCUAUCAAAGAGGCUUGCAAGGUAAGUGUAAUCUGAUUAUAAACUCUGAUGUUACUGACUUGGUCCCUUCUAUUGCAGGUAACACAGAUUUGAGGACAAAUCUUUUUGAAGUGGGAGGGGAUGAUAUGAUCAUGGAAAGCACCAAGGACUGGAAGCAUGAACCUGAACCUGAAGAGCUUGUAGCUGAGGAUGCAACCUUGAAGAACAUUUGGAAACAAGAAGAAUACAUUAGUCUUGGCCGAAGCUUGAUCAUCCAAGACACCUUAACCAUCAUUCAAGCUACUCCACCUUCAAGCUGAUCAUCAUCUAGGCAAGUAGCUUGUGUGUGCUCUUUUCCUAACCUUUGGUUUUGUCCCACUGGGUUUUCCAAAGGAAGGUUUUUAACGAGGCCACAAGUCUACUUCUCCUAUCUCCUAGAUGAUUGAUCUUGGUCUGUCCACAUGAAGACCUUAUCUUAUAUUUUAAGCUAUGCUUUUAUGUUAUUUAGUUUUCGAAAAACUCUAGUCUUUGUUGUGUUUCCAAGGGAGCCUUUGUCUUUAUUUCCCUUGUAUUUUCGAGACCUUGUGCAUGUACAAGGCUUCUCCUUUAUAUUCUGGUCGUGGCCCCUUGUAUCAGUAUCCAUCUUUUUAUCAAAAACCUUUGUUUUCUCUUUUCUUCUUGCUUGU
rnacentral:lncRNA from 1 species